rnacentral:rRNA from 1 species
GACGAACGCUGGCGGCAUGCCUAACACAUGCAAGUCGGACGGAAAGGCCUGCUUUCCCUUGUGGAUUGCGGGUACUCGAGUGGCGAACGGGUGAGUAACACGUGGGUGAUCUGCCCCCAACUUGGGUAUAAGCCUGGGAUACUGGGUCCAAUCCCCGAUAGGACUGCAGGGUGGUUCCUGCCGUGGAAAACGAUUUUCUAGUGGUUCGGGAUGAGCUCGCGGCCUAUUAGCUUGUUGGCGGGGUAAUGGCCUACGACGGCGGGGACGGGUAGCCGGCGUGAGAGGGUGGACGGUGGCAUUGAGACUGAGUUACGGCGCGGACGGGAGGGAGAGGCAGGGGAGGGGGAUAUAUGGCCAUGGGCGUGAGCCUGACGCACCGCCGCCGCGUGGGGGAUGACGGCAUUGGAGAGGUCAUCACCUUUCGACCGCGGGGAAGCCACCUGGUUCGGAGGGUGGUGACGGUAGUGGUAGAAGAAGCACCGGCUAACUUCGUG